UGAGAAACCUAUCCUGGUCUCUGGGAUAACAGUCGGAAACAACUGCUAAUACCGGAUGCCGUCGGAGCGCUGCAUGGCGCACUGACGAAAGGGUUACUGGAUCAGGAGGGUCUCGCGGCCUAUCAGCUUGUUGGUGGGGUAAUGGCCUACCAAGGCAUCGACGGGUAGCUGGUCUGAGAGGAUGAUCAGCCACACUGGGACUGAGACACGGCCCAGACCUACCGG
rnacentral:rRNA from 1 species